CUAACCACAUCCUAACUAUGAAGUCAACCAUUGUUCAACCUCCACCAGGAGAGUUCAUGAAAGAAGAUUUGUAUCUUCAAAAAAGAUGGAGAAGAGUACAAUAUUUGGCCAACAAGUUUUGGAUCCGUUGGAGGAAAGAAUAUUUACUCAACUUGCAACCAAGACAGAAGUGGAAUGCACACAGAAGAGAUCUGCAGAUAAAUGAUAUAGUGCUUCUACAAGAAGAGCUUGCACCACGUAACGAAUGGAAGCUAGCUAAAGUCACAGCUGUCUAUCCUGGAGCAGAUAAUAAAGUGAGAAAGGUUAGACUCUUAGUUAGCGAGAGGACAUCUAACAAAAAUGAUAAACUAGUGACGAAAACAGUUUCAUUAGAAAGACCUAUACAUAAGGUUAUUGCUUUGCUAGAAGCAGAAUAAUGUUUAUUUUAUUUAUUUUGCUGUUCAGACUCUGUGUCAGUUUGAAUUUGUGUUAUGGAAAUCUCACUGUUAAGAGUGUGAGAUUUGGUGGGAGUGUAACUGCCACAUCUCUAUUUCUACAAGUUUCUGUGUAUUUUAAGUUAAUUUUGUGAAGCGUCACUAGAGGGCGCUGUGGUGUCAGAGUAUACGUGUGUUGUAUAGAGAUAUGUCAAGAAGAAAAACAGCGAUCUCAGGAAGAAAAGGGGAAAGAACGCAGAAAGAAAAGAGCAUGGACAGAAAGGUUUAAGAAAGGAAGCAAAACCAAGAAGAAAAUAGGUUUUUCCUAAUUCCUUACUUGGUACUCAGCCAACGAGUUUUCACGGUGUGUUUUGAAUCUAUACCAAGAUGGCUUCAAUAAAUUCAUCAGUUAAGAAAACCCA